rnacentral:rRNA from 1 species
GCAGAGCACUCCUACGGGAGGCAGCAGUGGGGAAUAUUGCACAAUGGGGGAAACCCUGAUGCAGCGACGCAGCGUGCGGGAUGACGGCCUUCGGGUUGUAAACCGCUUUCAGCAGGGAAGAAGCGCAAGUGACGGUACCUGCAGAAGAAGUACCGGCUAACUACGUGCCAGCAGCCGCGGUAAUACGUAGGGUACGAGCGUUGUCCGGAAUUAUUGGGCGUAAAGAGCUCGUAGGUGGUUGGUCACGUCUGCUGUGGAAACGCAACGCUUAACGUUGCGCGUGCAGUGGGUACGGGCUGACUAGAGUGCAGUAGGGGAGUCUGGAAUUCCUGGUGUAGCGGUGAAAUGCGCAGAUAUCAGGAGGAACACCGGUGGCGAAGGCGGGACUCUGGGCUGUAACUGACACUGAGGAGCGAAAGCAUGGGGAGCGAACAGGAUUAUAUACCCUGGUAG